GCCAGGAUAUCUUUCCCUUCAGAGCUGGAAC
rnacentral:piRNA from 1 species